GCUCAGAAUUUAUCUAAUACGUAAUGGAAUGUAGAAGGAGAAGCAAAGUUGGUUGAGGUGUGCCGAAACCAACGUACGAGUAGGCCUGUAAAAGAGGGCAAAAAGAGGAUUCAAAGAAAACACACUUUAUGCAAGUUAAAUACAGCGUGGGUACUGAAAGCUUGUAAGGAUCUUUUACUCUGAUUGAGGUAUAUAUGUAACUGCGCUGAGGCUUAUCCGUGGCCCCAUCACUCAGUGAUGUAGACUGGAGUGUAAGAGCUUGAAGCUGUUGAUGCAGUGCUUUGUGACAGA